AUACGUAGGGGGCAAGCGUUGUCCGGAAUCAUUGGGCGUAAAGGGCGCGUAGGCGGAUAUUUAAGUCUGAUGUGAAAACCUAGGGCUCAACCUUGGGACUGCAUCGGAAACUGGGUAUCUUGAGGACAGGAGAGGAAAGUGGAAUUCCACGUGUAGCGGUGAAAUGCGUAGAUAUGUGGAGGAACACCAGUGGCGAAGGCGACUUUCUGGACUGUAACUGACGCUGAGGCGCGAAAGCGUGGGGAGCAAACAGGGUUAGAUACCCUGGUAGUCCACGCCGUAAACGAUGAGUGCUAGGUGUAGAGGGUAUCGACCCCUUCUGUGCCGCAGUAAACACAAUAAGCACUCCGCCUGGGGAGUACGGCCGCAAGGCUGAA
rnacentral:rRNA from 1 species